rnacentral:tRNA from 1 species
UCCAGGGUAGCUUAGUGGAAAUGGCAUCUGCCCCUUAAGCGGAACAUUGUGGGUUCGAUUCCCAUUCCUGGAC